AUUGAACGCUGGCGGCAGGCUUAACACAUGCAAGUCGAGCGGAGAGAGGUAGCUUGCUACUGAUCUUAGCGGCGGACGGGUGAGUAAUGCUUAGGAAUCUGCCUAUUAGUGGGGGACAACAUUUCGAAAGGAAUGCUAAUACCGCAUACGUCCUACGGAAGAAAGCAGGGGAUCUUCGGACCUUGCGCUAAUAGAUGAGCCUAAGUCGGAUUAGCUAGUUGGUGGGGUAAAGGCCUACCAAGGCGACGAUCUGUAGCGGGUCUGAGAGGAUGAUCCGCCACACUGGGACUGAGACACGGCCCAGACUCCUACGGGAGGCAGCAGUGGGGAAUAUUGGACAAUGGGCGGAAGCCUGGUCCAGCCAUGCCGCGUGUGUGAAGAAGGCCUUAUGGUUGUAAAGCACUUUAAGCGAGGAGGAGGCUACUUUAGUUAAUACCUAGAGAUAGUGGACGUUACUCGCAGAAUAAGCACCGGCUAACUCUGUGCCAGCAGCCGCUGUAACAC
rnacentral:rRNA from 1 species